GCGGCUCCCCGCGAGAUCCCUUUUCUGGCCAGCCCCGCCGGCCUCGGAAGGGGCUCCCGCCAUGGACGGGCUGCGGACUAGCACGGGGCUGUUGAGGCGCGGGAGGUUGAGACGCCGGCGCCAGCCGCAGCCACACAGCGGGUCGGUCCUGGCCCUGCCCCUGAGGCCCAGGAAGAUCCGAAGGCAGCUUAGGAGAAGCGUGGCGUCCCGCAUGGCCGCACUGAGGGCCCAGACGCUGCCCAGCGAGGACUCGGAGGACUCGAGGGUGGAGUCGACGGUCGACGAUCCGGGGGACCCGCUGCCUGGUGGGGCGGCGGCCAUCCCCGAUGCGGCCCGGCGGGAGCCGUAUGGCCACCUGGGGCCUGCAGAGCUGCUGGAGGCCUCCCCCGCGGCCCGCUCCCUCCAGACACCCCGCUCCCUGGUGGAGGCGCAGACCCCGCCGGCCCGCCUGGUGGAGGCGCACACUCCGCCGGCCCGCCUGGUGCCGGCUUCCGCGCCGCCCGCGCGCCUGGUGGAGGUGCCCGCCGCGCCGGCCCGCGUGGUAGAAACCUCGGCCCUGCUAUGCAAUGCCCAGCACUUGGCGGCCGCCCCUCUGUCCGUAGCCCCUGCCACGCUGUCGGGGCCGCAGGUGGACAGCACGGGCGGGGAGCUGGCCUGGGACUCCCCGCUGCAGCGCGUCCUGGCCGAGCUGAACCGCAUCCCCAGCAGCCGGCGGCGGGCAGCGCGCCUCUUCGAGUGGCUCAUCUCGCCCAUGCCGCCCGACCAUUUCUACCGGCGCCUGUGGGAGCGGGAGGCGGUGCUGGUGCGGCGGCAGGACCACGCCUACUACCAGGGGCUUUUCUCCACCGCAGACCUGGACUCCAUGCUGCGCCACGAGGAGGUGCAGUUCGGGCAGCACCUGGACGCCGCUCGCUACGUAAACGGGCGGCGCGAGACCCUGAACCCGCCCGGCCGCGCGCUGCCCGCCGCCGCCUGGUCCCUGUACCAGGCCGGCUGCUCCCUGCGCCUCCUCUGUCCGCAGGCCUUCUCGACCACCGUGUGGCAGUUUUUGGCUGUGCUCCAGGAGCAGUUUGGAAGCAUGGCAGGCUCCAACAUUUACCUCACGCCCCCCAACUCGCAGGGCUUUGCCCCCCACUACGACGACAUCGAGGCUUUUGUGCUGCAGCUGGAAGGUAGGAAACUCUGGCGCGUGUACCGACCCCGGGUCCCGACGGAGGAGCUGGCCCUGACAUCCAGUCCCAACUUCAGCCAGGACGACCUCGGUGAGCCGGUGCUGCAGACCGUGCUGGAACCCGGAGAUUUGCUCUAUUUUCCUCGGGGCUUCAUUCACCAAGCCGAAUGCCAGGAUGGGGUGCACUCUCUGCACCUCACCUUGUCCACGUACCAGCGCAAUACCUGGGGCGACUUCCUGGAGGCCGUACUGCCUCUGGCAGUGCAGGCUGCAAUGGAAGAAAAUGUGGAAUUCCGAAGGGGUCUCCCCCGAGACUUCAUGGAUUACAUGGGGGCCCAGCACUCGGAUUCUAAGGAUCCACGAAGAACGGCUUUUAUGGAGAAGGUGCGAGUCCUGGUUGCCCGCUUGGGACACUUUGCUCCUGUCGAUGCUGUGGCUGACCAGCGAGCCAAAGACUUCAUCCACGACUCUCUGCCCCCUGUGCUGACUGAUAGGGAGAGGGCACUAAGUGUUUAUGGGCUCCCAAUUCGCUGGGAGGCUGGCGAACCUGUGAACGUGGGGGCCCAGUUGACAACGGAAACAGAAGUGCACAUGCUGCAGGAUGGGAUAGCUCGGCUGGUGGGUGAGGGAGGCCAUUUGUUUCUCUAUUAUACAGUGGAGAACUCCCGUGUUUAUCAUUUGGAAGAGCCCAAGUGCUUGGAGAUAUACCCUCAGCAAGCUGAUGCCAUGGAACUCUUGCUGCGCUCCUACCCAGAGUUUGUGAGAGUAGGGGACCUGCCCUGUGACACUGUGGAGGACCAGCUUUCCUUAGCAACCAUGUUAUAUGACAAGGGGCUGCUGCUCACCAAGAUGCCUCUAACCUGAACUAGUUUCUUGUUGAUUGCUGGAAGCAAGACAGUGGUGAUUCUCUUAACUACCAUUACCACCUUUUUGGCAGGGGGCUGGGGGAUGGGUGGGGGGACUCAUGUUCUUACCUUGAGAACCAUUUACCUUUAUGACUGCUUACAUUUACCUUUAUGACUGCUUUAAUGUCACAAAUUUCAGAUGGCUUUCUAGGAAUCACCACUUCAUCUAGGCACAAAAGCAAAAGCAGAAGUUGGAGGUGGAAAAAGGAGCUCUUUCUGCAGAAGUAACUUUGAUCCCUGAUUAUUUCAGAGCACCAGCCUCAUCAUCACCCCCAGGCUUCAGUGUACUGUGUAGCACUUGCUGUGUCAUUGUGCUUGAGACAUCAGAUGUUUUUAUUUGGGAUUUGCAUCCUUCAUUUGAGUUCUCUUUCCUCAGUUUGGGGGGAGGGUUGGGUUGGAGGAAUCUUCCCCAAACCUGGCAAGUGACUGUUCUCAUGGUUGGUGGAAGAGAGCCUGGUGUACCAGAGAGAGCACAGGACUUGGAGCCAGAAGACCUGGGUUUGGGGUGGUGGCUGGUAGGCAGCUGACUGAAUGAGCUGAGGCUGCUGCUACGCCUGGGCACACAGAUUUUGUCACAAGUGGCAGGGAGUUACUCACCCUUCAAAAGGACACUGUGCAUGAUGUCCCGGGCGAGGGGAUUAUGCGACUGUAUGACGUACUGGCAUAGUGCUGCUGCGAUCCGCACAUUGGCACUUUUGUCACAAAGAGCAGCCUCCAGAGCGGGCUGUAGAACCUCUGGCAAGUCCUGGACAGAUGGGGCUUUCCCAGUCUCCUUGUCUGUGAUCAAAAGAGAACCAGGAGUCUUUUUAGAUCGGAGCAGUCAGACUCACAAGCCUCACAGACCACACAAAGCACCAAUCUUCGAAGGAUCUAGGAUGGGAGCACGGUUUGCCAACAGGGCAGCACCAGGCAUUCCUUCUGGCCAGAGUUCUCCAGGCCCUUCGGACAGCGUCCACAGAGUCUUCUGGGGACAUGUGCUGUGUUCCACAGGACUGUUUCAGUAGCUCCAGAUCGCUAGUGGAAGUAAGCUCAUCCCGGAUGUGGCUCCAGUCAUAUUGCUGGCGAAGAAAUCUCUGCCACUUGUUGGGGGAUACCCCAGGCCUCAGAGGACGUUUGCUCUGGAUCCAUCGGGCGGUGCGCUUGUUCAGCUUUUCCAGCACGAUGGCUUCCCAGGCUCUGGCCUCCUUCUCAGGGGGUGGCAGCCAGGCUUCCCUCUCCUCCAGGUUCAUGUCUGGAGAAAGUGACAGACCUGGCAUGUCUGGAUCCCUGCAGGAAUGAGGGAUGAGAGGGCAAGAUUCUUCCUGGCCCACACUUGCCAGCUUGGAUUCCUUUGGCCGCUUCUUAAGAUUGGCAGACCUUUCUGUCUUCACAGCCUGGGAGGUGACCCUUGCUGAGGGACCUGAAGAAUGCAAGGACUUGAGGCCAGUGGGUUUCUCGCAUCGGGCCCUGCUGGUCUGGGGAGGCUGGAUGGUGUGGCCUGCCUUGUAGAGAUGGUCAAAGUUAUACUGGCUGUAAGGGGUGCUGGGAAGCCCUCGCUGCCAUACCACCUCCUGAGAGAAGGUGAGGUUUGUAGCGGCCUUUUUCAAAUACUGGUUCUUCAGGUGUGCACAGCGAUGUGGGCUAAAGUGGAAGACUGGAGGUACACUGGACACCGAGGCACACUCCUCGUGUCCUGGUUUUGAGUGGGAAAAAUUCAUGCCCCAUCCCAGCCGUGGGGGGAGUGACUGAUGGAAAUGGUGGGAAAGAAGUGUCUUUCCCUGUUGGGUUCUGGUCAUUGUUUCCCAGCAAAAGCUUCCUUCCACACUGCCUGGUCCAGAUGCAGGGCUGGAGGUAUGACCAGAUACCUGUUGAGGGGAUGGGAGGAACUGCUGAGAGCUCUAGGUCAGUAGAAAUCGGUAGCCCAUAGCAGUCCAGAAAGGAAAUAAAUGGGAAGACGGGGGAGCGGGGGGAAGCCACGUGAGUUAAAAGGACAAAAGAGGGGCGCCUGGGUGGCUCAGUCGGUUAAGCGUCUGCCU